UACGUAGGGUGCAAGCGUUGUCCGGAAUUAUUGGGCGUAAAGAGCUCGUAGGCGGUUUGUCGCGUCGAAUGUGAAAACCCGGGGCUCAACCCCGGGCCUGCAUUCGAUACGGGCAGACUAGAGUUCGGCAGGGAGACUGGAAUUCCGUGGUGAGCGGUGAAAUGCGCAGAUAAUCAGGAGGAACACCGGUGGCGAAGGCGGGGUCUCUGGGCCGAUACUGACGCUGAGGAGCGAAAGCGUGGGGAGCGAA
rnacentral:rRNA from 1 species